rnacentral:tRNA from 1 species
GGCAAGAUGGCCGAGUGGUUAAGGCGGUAGCUUAAGGCGCUACUGGGAAACCGCGUGGGUUCGAAUCCCACUCUUGUCA